UCCAGACUCCUACGGGAGGCAGCAGUGGGGAAUAUUGGGCAAUGGGCGCAAGCCUGACCCAGCAACGCCGCGUGAAGGAAGAAGGCUUUCGGGUUGUAAACUUCUUUUAAGAGGGAAGAGUAGAAGACGGUACCUCUUGAAUAAGCCACGGCUAACUACGUGCCAGCAGCCGCGGUAAUACGUAGGUGGCAAGCGUUGUCCGGAUUUACUGGGUGUAAAGGGCGUGUAGCCGGGUUGACAAGUCAGAUGUGAAAUCCUGCGGCUUAACCGCAGAACUGCAUUUGAAACUGUUGAUCUUGAGUACUGGAGAGGCAGACGGAAUUCCUAGUGUAGCGGUGAAAUGCGUAGAUAUUAGGAGGAACACCAGUGGCGAAGGCGACUUACUGGACUGUAACUGACGUUGAGGCACGAAAGUGUGGGGAGCAAACAGGAUUAGAUACCCUAGUA
rnacentral:rRNA from 1 species